AAUAAAAAUAUCUUUGGUUGGGGCAACCACGAAGAAAAAAAAACCUUCGUCUAAAAAAGAAAUUUACAAAUUAAAAAUUUUUAUAAAAAAGGAUCCAGAAAAUACUGAUCAAAGAAAAAAGUUACCGCAGGGAUAACAGCGUUAUUCUCUUUAAGAGCUCGUAUUGACAAGAGAGUUUGCGACCUCGAUGUUGGACCGGGGCACCCAAGAGGUGUAGCAGCCUCUAAAGGUAGGUCUGUUCGACCUUUAAAGCCCUACGCGAUCUGAGUUCAGACCGACGCAAGUCAGGUCAGUUUCAAUCUA
rnacentral:rRNA from 1 species